rnacentral:lncRNA from 1 species
AUAGAACAUAGGGCAAAGUGGACCACAUCUCAGACCAUAAACAACUCUCACUCAGUAAACAUGGAAGACCGAAUGAGCCAUCGUCCAUGUGCUGUUAGACUGACAUCACGUAGUUGUGAGGAGACUGGAGGGCAGGUAUCUCUCACAUGCCACUGCUGAGAGUAUAAAAUGCCAUGGCUACCCUAGAAAACAGCUAAGACAGCUUCUUAUAACAGUUACUAACACUUUACCACAAGGCCCAGUCGGCAUACUUCUGGAUGUUCACCUAAAAACUUGCAUACAAUCACCCGCUGCAGCUAAAGGCAUCAAGUUCGCUGGCCCCAGAGGCAGAAACAAGAUGAUGGAGCGAAUGUCCUGUUAUAGAAAGCACAGGAAUAACAUGCAGUGUGCUCCUGCCAUGGCUCAAGAAGUGUAAAUGGUGUGUCAAAGCUAAGAAGCAGGACACUGGGACAAAUAAGGCGUCAUGGAGUCUGUGAAGGCACCACAGCUGACCCCAAGGGGACAGCUGCUGCUGCAGCAUGCAGUUCAUCUUGAAGACUUCAAUGAUCAACCAUAAAAUGCAUGCUCUGGUCACAAACUGAAAGAAAAAGAGGGUCUGUCAACAGGCUAAUGCUUAAGCGAGGCAAACCCCAACUAUGGACACGCCUCAGCAAUAGAAGAGAUGAGCUGUAUUACACUGUCACAAGGCUUGGACAGGCAUCAAAGGAAUUACACUGAGGGAGGCAAAAAGAAAAUCUCAAAGGUGACAAAGAGCUGUGGGCUGAUGUCUGUCCUGGGAAGACCAGAAGUACCUAAGGAUCAAAGGGGGUGGAGGAGGAGGUCCCUCUUGCUACAGAAACAAAAGUAACCUUAAGGAUACAGCUCCACUCUGUGAACCACUGAGUGCAACUCCACAGCCAAGGCGAGGUGUGGAGACUGGAGACCUCUCUCGUCCUAUCACACGUCUCUGACCUGACUUGCCUGAGGCUCCUCCACACUGUGUCCACUCAGACUAUAGGUGAGAGGGCUUUGGUGUAGCUGUA